UACGGGGGGAGCAAGCGUUGUUCGGAUUUACUGGGCGUAAAGGGCGCGUAGGCGGCCUUGUCAGUCAGAUGUGAAAGCCCCGGGCUCAACCUGGGAACUGCAUUUGAUACUGCAAGGCUUGAGUUCCGGAGAGGAUGGUGGAAUUCCCAGUGUAGAGGUGAAAUUCGUAGAUAUUGGGAAGAACACCGGUGGCGAAGGCGGCCAUCUGGACGGACACUGACGCUGAGGCGCGAAAGCGUGGGGAGCAAACAGG
rnacentral:rRNA from 1 species